rnacentral:rRNA from 1 species
GAUUUCUGACGGACCGGAGUGGCCCGUUCCCUUUCAGGGAAUGAGUGCCGCUUUGUGUUUGUCAUCCUUCCAGUGAGCUGCGUCUACCGUUUACUCGGCCGGACGUAUGCGAUCUGGAUCUAUUACUUUGAAAAAAUUAGAGUGUUUAAAGCAGGCUUAUGCUCUGAAUACAUUAGCAUGGAAUAAUAAUUUAGGACUUCGGUCCUAUUUUGUUGGUUUCUAGGACAGAAGUAAUGAUUGAUAGGGACAGUUGGGGGUGCUAGUAUUCCGCGGCCAGAGGUGAAAUUCUUGGAUUCGCGGAAGACUAACUACUGCGAAAGCAUU